rfam:Schistosoma curassoni strain Dakar, Senegal genome assembly, scaffold: SCTD_scaffold0003531
AUUCAGCUGACGAGUCCGAAGCAGGACGAAACGCGCAUCCUGGAU